UACGUAGGGGGCAAGCGUUGUCCGGAUUUAUUGGGCGUAAAGAGCGUGUAGGCGGUCUGGUAGGUCCGUUGUGAAAACUCGAGGCUCAACCUCGAGACGCCGAUGGAAACCAUCAGACUAGAGUCCGGAAGAGGAGAGUGGAAUUCCUGGUGUAGCGGUGAAAUGCGCAGAUAUCAGGGAGAACACCCGUGGCUAAGGCGGCUCUCUAGUACGGUACCGACGCUGAGACGCGAAAGCGUGGGGAGCAAACAGG
rnacentral:rRNA from 1 species